UGGGGAAUUUUGGACAAUGGGCGAAAGCCUGAUCCAGCAAUGCCGCGUGUGUGAAGAAGGCCUUCGGGUUGUAAAGCACUUUUGUCCGGAAAGAAAUCCUUGGCUCUAAUACAGUCGGGGGAUGACGGUACCGGAAGAAUAAGCACCGGCUAACUACGUGCCAGCAGCCGCGGUAAUACGUAGGGUGCAAGCGUUAAUCGGAAUUACUGGGCGUAAAGCGUGCGCAGGCGGUUUGCUAAGACCGAUGUGAAAUCCCCGGGCUCAACCUGGGAACUGCAUUGGUGACUGGCAGGCUAGAGUAUGGCAGAGGGGGGUAGAAUUCCACGUGUAGCAGUGAAAUGCGUAGAGAUGUGGAGGAAUACCGAUGGCGAAGGCAGCCCCCUGGGCCAAUACUGACGCUCAUGCACGAAAGCGUGGGGAGCAAACAGGAUUAGAUACCCUGGUAGUCCACGCCCUAAACGAUGUCACUAGUUGUUGGGGAUUCAUUUCCUAGUAACGUAGCUAACGCGUGAAGUUGACCGCCUGGGGAGUACGGUCGCAAGAUU
rnacentral:rRNA from 1 species